AGGGUUUGAUCCUGGCUCAGGAUGAACGCUAGCGGCAGGCUUAACACAUGCAAGUCGAACGGGAACAUUUCUUGCUUGCAAGAAGAUGACGAGUGGCGCACGGGUGCGUAACGCGUAUACAACCUGCCUUGAACAAAGGGAUAGCCCCGAGAAAUCGGGAUUAAUACUCCAUAACAUUGAUUUACCGCAUGGUAUUUCGAUUAAAACUCCGGUGAUUAAAGAUGGGUAUGCGUGACAUUAGUUUGUUGGUGAGGUAACGGCUCACCAAGACUACGAUGUCUAGGGGUUCUGAGAGGAUGAUCCCCCACACUGGUACUGAGACACGGACCAGACUCCUACGGGAGGCAGCAGUGAGGAAUAUUGGACAAUGGACGCAAGUCUGAUCCAGCCAUCCCGCGUGCAGGAAGAAUGCCCUAUGGGUUGUAAACUGCUUUUAUAUAGGAAUAAACCCCCCUACGUGUAGGGGGCUGAAGGUACUAUAAGAAUAAGCACCGGCUAACUCCGUGCCAGCAGCCGCGGUAAUACGGAGGGUGCAAGCGUUAUCCGGAUUUAUUGGGUUUAAAGGGUCCGCAGGCGGGAAAUUAAGUCAGUGGUGAAAUCCUUCAGCUCAACCGAAGAAUUGCCAUUGAAACUGGUUUUCUUGAAUCUACUUGAAGUGGGCGGAAUAUGACAUGUAGCGGUGAAAUGCUUAGAUAUGUCAUAGAACACCGAUUGCGAAGGCAGCUUACUAAAGUGAUAUUGACGCUAAGGAACGAAAGCGUGGGGAGCGAACAGGAUUAGAUACCCUGGUAGUCCACGCCGUAAACGAUGAUCACUCGUCAUUGGCGAUACACUGUCAGUGACCAAGCGAAAGUGUUAAGUGAUCCACCUGGGGAGUACGGUCGCAAGAUUGAAACUCAAAGGAAUUGACGGGGGCCCGCACAAGCGGUGGAGCAUGUGGUUUAAUUCGAUGAUACGCGAGGAACCUUACCAGGGCUUAAAUGCAGAACGACCGCUUGGGAAACCAGGCUUUCUUCGGACGGUUUGCAAGGUGCUGCAUGGUUGUCGUCAGCUCGUGCCGUGAGGUGUCGGGUUAAGUCCCAUAACGAGCGCAACCCCUAUCGUUAGUUGCCAUCAGGUCAUGUUGGGGGCUCUAGGAAGACAAACCUCGUGUAGGAGUGGGAAGGUGGGGACGACGUCAAGUCAGUAUGGCCCUUACGGCCAGGGCUGCACACGUGCUACAAUGCCUAGUACAGAAGGACGCAAUACCGCGAGGUGGAGCAAAUCCUCAAAACUAGGCCCAGUUCGGAUUGGAGUCUGCAACUCGACUCCAUGAAGUUGGAAUCGCUAGUAAUGGCGCAUCAGCUACGGCGCCGUGAAUACGUUCCCGGGCCUUGUACACACCGCCCGUCACAUCAUGAAAGCCGGUUCUGCCCGAAGUAUGUGAGUCAACCGCAAGGAGACAGCGUCCUAAGGUGGGGCUGGUGAUUGGGAUGAAGUCAUAACAAGGUAACCGUA
rnacentral:rRNA from 1 species